rnacentral:rRNA from 1 species
GACGAACGCUGGCGGCGUGCCUAAUACAUGCCAGUAGAACGCUGAAGAGAGGAGCUUGCUCUUCUUGGAUGAGUUGCGAACGGGUGAGUAACGCGUAGGUAACCUGCCUUGUAGCGGGGGAUAACUAUUGGAAACGAUAGCUAAUACCGCAUAACAAUGGAUGACACAUGUCAUUUAUUUGAAAGGGGCAAUUGCUCCACUACAAGAUGGACCUGCGUUGUAUUAGCUAGUAGGUGAGGUAAUGGCUCACCUAGGCGACGAUACAUAGCCGACCUGAGAGGGUGGUCGGCCACACUGGGACUGAGACAGGGCCCAGACUCCUACGGGAGGCAGCAGUAGGGAAUCUUCGGCAAUGGGGGGAACCCUGACCGAGCAACGCCGCGUGAGUGAAGAAGGUUUUCGGAUCGUAAAGCUCUGUUGUAAGUCAAGAACGGGUGUGAGAGUGGAAAGUUCACACUGUGACGGUAGCUUACCAGAAAGGGACGGCUAACUACGUG